rnacentral:rRNA from 1 species
CCUACGGGUGACAGCAGUAGGGAAUCUUCCACAAUGGGCGAAAGCCUGAUGGAGCAACGCCGCGUGGGUGAAGAAGGUCUUCGGAUCGUAAAACCCUGUUGUUAGAGAAGAAAGUGCGUGAGAGUAACUGUUCACGUUUCGACGGUAUCUAACCAGAAAGCCACGGCUAACUACGUGCCAGCAGCCGCGGUAAUACGUAGGGGGCAAGCGUUAUCCGGAUUUAUUGGGCGUAAGGGGAACGCAGGCGGUCUUUUAAGUCUGAUGUGAAAGCCUUCGGCUUAACCGGAGUAGUGCAUUGGAAACUGGGAGACUGGAGUGCAGAAGAGGAGAGUGGAACUCCAUGUGUAGCGGUGAAAUGCGUAGAUAUAUGGAAGAACACCAGUGGCGAAAGCGGCUCUCUGGUCUGUAACUGACGCUGAGGUUCGAAAGCGUGGGUAGCAAACAGGAUUAGAUACCCCAGUAGUC